GUUGGAACUUUUUUUUUUUUGUCUGAUCUAUCUCUCUCACGAUGGCAAGUUCUUCUGACUUUGCUCGAAGAGAUCGGCCAAGUGAAGAAGAAGAAGAGAGAGAUUUUGUGAAGAAGAUAUCGAAGCUAUCUAUUAAGGUUCAUUGGCUUGAGGAUUCUUCGUUCUUCUUUCGAUCAUGUAAUUUUCGUGGCUAACGAGAUAUGGAUUUGGCUUCCCGUUAUAAGGUAUGUUAAUAUAUUCCUGGUGAAACCUGAAGCUUUACUGCUGCACUUGUUGAUGGUGUUAACAAGAAGGGGAAAUAUGCCAAAUUCAACAAUUGACUCGAGGAAAAGCUGAUGACCUCGGUCCUCCUCUCCAUUGUGGUCCUACUGGUCAUCUGAUUUCCAGAGUCUGCAAUAAUAAGCAGCAAAGAGGCUUAUUGGUGGCACUGGUGAACUGAAGAGCAAACUGCAAGAUUUUCGUAACGACCCCUCUAUAUUAUGUUGGCUUGAAGAUGCUGCGUAUUUUGCUGCUAUUGACAAUACUUUAAAUGCAUACAGUUGGUUUGAGUGGCCUGAACCACUUAAAAACCGUCAUCUUUCAGCCUUGGAAGCUAUAUAUGAAAGUCAAAAGGAGUUUAUAGACUUGUUCAUAGCUAAAAAAAUUGUUUUCCAAACGCAGUAGACUUUGCUGCAGAUAGACUUGUUCAUAGCUAAACAAUUUUUUUUCCGAAGGCAGUAGACUUUGCUGUAGAUAGACUUGUUCAUAGCUAAACAAUUUUUUUUCCAAAGGCAGUAAACUUUGCUGCAGAAUUGAUCAUUUUAGAGGAUUUGCAGGGUUUUGGGCGCACUUGUUACCUGUUGUUGUUACCUGGUUCCUCCUCCUUCAUUUGAGAUGUUGAUGCGUCUUACAUUCCCCGCUUCAUUCGCAAGAGUAAAGAAAGGUUUGAGGCAAUAUAUCCCUUGUUGAAAGAAGUGGCUCUUGCUGGUGCACCAGGAAGCAAGGCAAUGAAACAAGUCACACAACAAUAUUUCCCUUAUUAAUGUUUUUAUUAUGUUUUGUAUGUUUGAAAAUUAAUUAAAAUGCAAUAUUUUCUAAUUUUAUAAAAUCUUAAAUGUUUACACAUUUGUACCACUUCUAUUCUAUUUAAAACUAGGAGAGUUACCCGCACGCUUGUGCGGGCAAGAACUGAAUAGAAAAAAAAAUUAAUUUAAUUCUUCAUAAUGUUGAAUCAAAUUUUUAUUAUA